rnacentral:rRNA from 1 species
CUAACAAGGAUUCCCCUAGUAACGGCGAGUGAAGCGGGAAGAGCUCAAAUUUGUAAUCUGGCGGCCUCUGGUCGUCCGAGUUGUAGUCUGGAGAAGCGUUUUCCGCGUCGGACCGUGUACAAGUCCCUUGGAACAGGGCGUCAUAGAGGGUGAGAAUCCCGUCUUUGACACGGACUGCCGACGCUCUGUGAUGCGCUCUCGAAGAGUCGAGUUGUUUGGGAAUGCAGCUCAAAACGGGUGGUAAAUUCCAUCUAAAGCUAAAUAUUGGCGAAAGACCGAUAGCGAACAAGUACCGUGAGGGAAAGAUGAAAAGCACUUUGGAAAGAGAGUUAAACAGUACGUGAAAUUGUUGAAAGGGAAACGCUUGAAGUCAGUCGCGUCUCCCGGGACUCAGCCUUGCUUUGCCAGGCGUAUUUCCCGGGGCGACGGGCCAGCAUCGAUUUUGACCGUCGGAGAAAGGCUUUGGGAACGUGGCACCUUCGGGUGUGUUAUAGCCCUCGGUCGUAUGCGACGGUCGGGAUUGAGGACCGCAGCACGCCUUUUUGGCCGGGGUUCGCCCACGUAACGUGCUUAGGAUGCUGGCGUAAUGGCUUUAAGCGACCCGUCUU